UUCGCAAUGCCCGAAAGGGUGACGAAGCGACGCCGCGUGUGGGAAGAAGGCCUUCGGGUUGUAAACCACUGUCGGGAGUUAAGAAAUGCAAGGAUAUGAAUAGUGUCUUUGCUUGACUAAGGCUCCGGAGGAAGCCACGGCUAACUCUGUGCCAGCAGCCGCGGUAAUACAGAGGUGGCAAGCGUUGUUCGGAAUUAUUGGGCGUAAAGAGCACGUAGGCGGCUAUGUAAGUCGGUUGUGAAAGCCUUCCGCUCAACGGGAGAACAGCAUCCGAUACUACAUGGCUUGAGUGCGGGAGGGGAGAGUGGAACUUCUGGUGGAGCGGUGAAAUGCGUAGAUAUCAGAAGGAACGCCGGCGGCGAAAGCGGCUCUCUGGCCCAUAACUGACGCUGAGUGUGCGAAAGCUAGGGGAGCAAACGGGAUUAGAUACCCCGGUAGUCCUAGCCGUAAACGAUGGGCACUAAGUAGAGGGGUUUU
rnacentral:rRNA from 1 species